CGGCGAGUGAGAGGGAAGAGCCCAAGAUUGAAAGCUGGCGUCUUCGGCGUCCGCAUUGUAAUCUCAAGAAGUGUUUUCCGCUUCGGACCAUGCCUAAGUCCCUUGGAAAAGGGCAUCAUAGAGGGUGAUAAUCCCGUACAUGGCAUGGAGCGCCCGAAGCUUUGUGAUACGCUUUCUACGAGUCGAGUUGUUUGGGAAUGCAGCUCAAAAUGGGUGGUAAAUGCCAUCUAAGGCUAAAUAUUGGGGAGAGACCGAUAGCGAACAAGUACAGUGAUGGAAAGAUGAAAAGAACUUUGAAAAGAGAGUUAAACAGUACGUGAAAUUGCCAAAAGGGAAGGGUAGGAGGUCAGAGAUGCGUCUUGGGAUUCAGCCUUGCUUUUGCAUGGUGUUUUUCCCAAGUUGCAGGCCAACGUCGGUUUUGGGCACUGGAGAAGGGUAGGAGGAACGUGGCACCUCUCGGGGUGUGUUAUAGCCUCCUACUGGAUACAGCGACCGAGACCGAGGAACGCAGCGUACUCGUAAGAGCGGGCCUUUUGGCACCUUUACGCUUAGGGCGUUGGCAUAAUGGCCCUCUACCACCCGUCUUGA
rnacentral:rRNA from 1 species